UCUUACGGGUGAGCAAAGAAAGUGAUUUCUUGAGAUGGAAUCUACUCCUGAUGAAGACGCUAUGAA
rnacentral:pre_miRNA from 1 species